GACGAACGCUGGCGGCGUGCUUAACACAUGCAAGUCGAACGGAAAGGCCCUUCGGGGUACUCGAGUGGCGAACGGGUGAGUAACACGUGGGUGAUCUGCCCUGCACUUUGGGAUAAGCCUGGGAAACUGGGUCUAAUACCGAAUAGGACCACGCGCUUCAUGGUGUGUGGUGGAAAGCUUUUGCGGUGUGAGAUGGGCGCGCGGCCUAUCAGCUUGUUGGUGGGGUAAUGGCCCACCAAGGCGACGACGGGUAGCCGGCCUGAGAGGGUGAGCGGCCACACUGGGACUGAGAUACGGCCCAGACUCCUACGGGAGGCAGCAGUGGGGAAUAUUGCACAAUGGGCGCAAGCCUGAUGCAGCGACGCCGCGUGAGGGAUGACGGCCUUCGGGUUGUAAACCUCUUUCAAUUGGGACGAAGCGAAAGUGACGGUACCUAUAGAAGAAGCACCGGCCAACUACGUG
rnacentral:rRNA from 1 species